rnacentral:rRNA from 1 species
GAUCAUGGCUCAGGAUGAACGCUAGCUACAGGCUUAACACAUGCAAGUCAGGGGAAACGAUAGAGAAGCUUGCUUUUUCUAGGCGUCGACCGGCGCACGGGUGAGUAACGCGUAUCCAACCUGCCCACCACUUGGGGAUAACCUUGCGAAAGUAAGACUAAUACCCAAUGACGUCUCUAGAAGACAUCUGAAAGAGAUUAAAGAUUUAUCGGUGAUGGAUGGGGAUGCGUCUGAUUAGCUUGUUGGCGGGGUAACGGCCCACCAAGGCGACGAUCAGUAGGGGUUCUGAGAGGAAGGUCCCCCACAUUGGAACUGAGACACGGUCCAAACUCCUACGGGAGGCAGCAGUGAGGAAUAUUGGUCAAUGGACGAGAGUCUGAACCAGCCAAGUAGCGUGCAGGAAGACGGCCCUAUGGGUUGUAAACUGCUUUUAUAAGGGAAUAAAGUGAGUCUCGUGAGACUUUUUGCAUGUACCUUAUGAAUAAGGACCGGCUAAUUCCGUG